AUUGGAUUAGAAAUGGGAUUGAAUUCAUUGGACAUCUAGGUCUUUUCCAAAUAGGGUAAAGUGCUAAAGCUCUGAGUACUGAAUGCUAAGGAACCUUUAAGAUCUGUGACUUACAGAAAUGUGAAAAUACUCAUUUGUAAACAGAUCAAAGCAUUCAACCUUUCUCUCUACCUGAACUCUCUGAAAUUCAAAAGAUCUCAUGCUAAGACUCCUUCACUGACCUAACUUCCAGCUAAUGGAUGAUCCUUUCUACUCAAGGAGGUUCAGACGUUGACAGCGUUGGAUUCACCUGCCUUGCCCUUUUGUAACCCCAGUAUUGACCUAUAGGUAGGGACAUCUCUAUGCCCUAUUUCAGCAGGAAGACAUCACAGAAGAUAAGACCUUCUACUUUCAACAGCCUUAAAGAUUUCAGGGUCAAAAUUGUUCAGGGGGUUAAUGAGCUAGCUAACAGAAGGAUGGCUGAAGACAAAGCAGAAGCUGACACCCUGCUCGGUGGGACUCAUGUGACAUCUUCCAGGAAUCUCCCCACUGUCUUAAUGUUAAUGCCUUGCUACAGGAGAAAAACAACCUUGACAAUGGCAAGGCCAUUGUAGGUGCUUUUUAGCAAAUGAAAGUGCCUCCCCCAACCCCAUUGUAUAUAUCAGCCACCCUGCACAACCCAGGUGCAGCUCUUUCUACCCAUAGGUCCUGUCUCUGUGCUUUAAUAAACCAUUUUGCACCAAGGAUUUCAGCCGUUGACUUUGAACUCUAAGUAAGUCAU